rnacentral:rRNA from 1 species
GACGAACGCUGGCGGCGUGCUUAACACAUGCAAGUCGAACGGAAAGGCCUCUUUCGGGGGGUACUCGAGUGGCGAACGGGUGAGUAACACGUGAGUAACCUGCCCUUGACUUUGGGAUAACUUCAGGAAACUGGGGCUAAUACCGGAUAGGAGCUCCUGCUGCAUGGUGGGGGUUGGAAAGUUUCGGCGGUUGGGGAUGGACUCGCGGCUUAUCAGCUUGUUGGUGGGGUAGUGGCUUACCAAGGCUUUGACGGGUAGCCGGCCUGAGAGGGUGACCGGCGACAGGGUGACGGAGGUGACCCCUAGACGUCGGGUGUGGACAGGAGUGGGAAAUAUUCCACGGAGGUGGAAUGCGUGGGGCAGCAGAGCGGGGUGCGGCGGGACGGUCUUGGUUUUGCACACCCUUGUCGCUGUGGAGGGGGUGUGGGGGGAGGGUGGUGGGAAAAGAAGCACCGGCUAACUCCGUGCGGGCGGCGGAGGGAGUGGGCGAAGAGCACCGGUCUGACC